GUUCUCGGCCUGUUUUCGUUUGGCCUUUUUUGCUGCCCUUCGAGUGGGCGAAUUGCUCCCUCCCUCUGGUAAGAAACCAGGGGGUUUGUUGUUUCAGGAUGAUUUUGGCACCCAUUCGUUUCGCAUUGGUGCUGCUACGGAGGCGGCCAGAGCGGGCUUGCCGGAGUCGGAGGUAAUGCGCAUUGGUAGGUGGCAAUCUGCCUGUUAUGCCAGGUACAUCAGGCCGGAUCUCUUGAUUUAAAAAAAAAAUAAAA